GUACACGUAAUCAUGCAAAUAAAAUCAUCUCAUCACGUUAAUAAUUCAACAUUAAAAUGCUAUUAAAGAGAGAUUAUCACUAAAAAAUAAUACCAUAUAAAUAACAUCAUAAUCUCAUAGCAUUAUUCACCCCUUAAAUUUCAGACAUUCUCCAAUUUAAAACAGUACAUAAGACAUUAUUUGAAAAAUUCAAACUCCAUAAACUGUACUGAAAACAAGAAAAUGCCUGAAUAAUUCAUCAUACAUAUUGGCCACAUCAUUCUCAUAUUAAAUAUAAAUUUGACAACAUUAAUUUUCAAUGUCAAUAGAUAUUUAAAAUGAUACUCAACAUUAAAUUUCAUGUGUCAAAAUAAAACAAAAAAUAUUUCUUAUUGGCUCCUUUUAAUUCUGUAAAAAUAACAUAAUUUUCUAGCUAUUUUCAUUUUAAAACAGUGCAAGACAUUUUGAGAAUCAUCAUAAUACAAAAUAGCACUGAAUAAGGGAAAAUACACAGAACAUCAGAAUUGGCCCAUGAAAACCACGUCAGACUUUUAUUGAUUCGGCCUAGGAGAAAAGAUUCAGAGGAAAGAAAAAAUCCUCCCGGGCUUAGACAAACUCGGCCGAAGCCCAGCCGCAAAAGCGGCUUGUAAGACUCCCGAAGGCCCAUGCGGCCACCGCCUUGAUCGUGGCCGUACGAUCGAAUCGGACGGACCAGAUCGAUCUCUAGUGGAACAAAACCGCCACCAGUCGAAACCCUAGCCCUCAUUUUUCUCCAUCCAUCCCGAUUUUCUCGCUCUCUCUAGAGGAGUGGUCCAACUGCGGCGGCGACGGUGAGGUGCGCACACACAAGAAGACACGGCGGCGCGAGGCACGCCGGACAUGGCGACGCGGUAGCUUCGCUCGCCGGAGCAGCGUGCACAAGGACUUGGUCCGGCGCGCUCCUCCGUCGAGCGUAGCUCCGGAGACGCGACCACGUAGCCGAGGCGUUUACGGGCAUUUCGCCGGCGGCUGCCGGCGCACGCUUUGACGGCGACGGCGAGGAACAAGGCACGAAGUCCAGCAGCGGUUGCAUCUUCUUUCCGCGCCGUAACGAGAGACAGCGGCGUUCCGGCCAUGGCGUACACGCACGGCGGUGGCCGUGGCCGUGCGGACCCUAAGGCCGGCAUGCUCAUAAACGCACAGCGGAGCCCAUGAUCUCAAGUGGCGAGGAUGAGCAGCACCAGUGGCGCCAAGGUGAUGUAGUCGUGGAGAGGCAGCAGCUCACCCAGGAGCUUCGCGGUGGCAGCAGGAAACCGCCGGCACAGCCUUGCGGCGGCUGGCGAUGGAAACGGCCUUCCCAUUGCAUAACACACCCCUAGAUCGGUAGGUUUGAGGGAAUUAAGGGGCUAGAUAUCAUGUACGUGAACUCAGGUGCCAUAAGUAUCCAUGCCCCGCCUUUUAUA